rnacentral:rRNA from 1 species
CAAUAGCGUACAUUAAAGUUGUUGCGGUAAAAAAGCUCGUAGUUGGAUUUCUACCGAAGAUAGCCGGUCGGGUCUUCGACCUUGUAUCUGGUUAUGUCUUUGGUAUCCUCAUAGGGAACGUUUCUGCGCUUUAUUGCGUGGUGCGGUAUCUAUGACUUUUACUUUGAGGAAAUUAGAGUGUUCACGGCAGGCAAACGCCUUGAAUAUAUUAGCAUGGAAUAAUAACAUAGGAUCUUCGUCCUAUUUUGUUGGUUUCUAGGGCUAAGAUAAUGAUUAAUAGGGAUAAUUGGGGGCAUCUGUAUCAACGCGUCAGAGGUGGAAUUCUUGGAUUGCGUUGCGACAAACUACUGCGAAAGCAUUUGCCAAGGAUGUUUUCAUUGA